UACGGGGGGUGCAAGCGUUGUUCGGAUUUAUUGGGCGUAAAGCGCGUGUAGGCGGUUUGUUAAGUCUGUUGUGAAAGCCCUGGGCUCAACCCGGGAAGUGCACUGGGUACUGGCAAACUUGAAUACGGGAGAGGAGAGUGGAAUUCCUGGUGUAGGAGUGAAAUCCGUAGAUAUCAGGAGGAACACCGGUGGCGAAGGCGACUUCCUGGCCUGUUCUUGACGCUGAGGCGCGAAAGCUAGGGGAGCAAACGGG
rnacentral:rRNA from 1 species